AGCUCCAAUAGCGUAUACUAACGUUGUUGCAGUUAAAAAGCUCGUAGUUGGAUUUCUGAUCUUUGCCAAUAGUAGUGUCGCCGCGUGCGAGGCUCUUUGCGCAGAGGUCAACAUAUGUCACGAGCCAGUGUGAUCUAUUUAUUUAGGUCCACUGGGUAAUGACUCGUUUACUUUGAGAAAAUUAGAGUGUUCAAAGCAGGCAUUUGCCUUGAAUAUGUUAGCAUGGAAUAAUAGCAUAGGACUUCGGUUCUAUUUGUUGGUUGUUCGAGAACUGGAGUAAUGAUUGAUAGGGACGGUUGGGGGCAUCCGUAUUCUCAAGCGAGAGGUGAAAUUCUUGGACCUUGGGAAGACGAACAGCUGCGAAAGCGUUUGCCUAGGACGUUCUCU
rnacentral:rRNA from 1 species